rnacentral:rRNA from 1 species
AACGAACGCUGGCGGCAGGCUUAACACAUGCAAGUCGAGCGCCCCGCAAGGGGAGCGGCAGACGGGUGAGUAACGCGUGGGAAUCUACCCAUCUCUACGGAAUAACGCAUGGAAACGUGUGCUAAUACCGUAUACGUCCUUCGGGAGAAAGAUUUAUCGGAGAUGGAUGAGCCCGCGUUGGAUUAGCUAGUUGGUGGGGCAAAGGCCUACCAAGGCGACGAUCCAUAGCUGGUCUGAGAGGAUGAUCAGCCACACUGGGACUGAGACACGGCCGAGACUCCUACGGGAGGCAGCAGUGGGGAAUAUUGGACAAUGGGCGCAAGCCUGAUCCAGCCAUGCCGCGUGAGUGAUGAAGGCCCUAGGGUUGUAAAGCUCUUUCACCGGUGAAGAUAAUGACGGUAACCGGAGAAGAAGCCCCGGCUAACUUCGUGCCAGCCGCCGCAGUAAAAC